rnacentral:rRNA from 1 species
CAAUAGCGUAUAUUAAAGUUGUUGCGGUUAAAAAGCUCGUAGUUGGAUUUCUGUCGGAGACGCGCGGUCCGCACUAUGUGCGUGUAUCUGUGUCGGCUCUGGCAUCCUCCUGGGGAACGGUGCUGCGCUUGAUUGCGUGGUCCGGUAUUCAGGACUUCUACUUUGAGGAAAUUAGAGUGUUUACGGCAGGCAAGCGCCUUGAAUAUAUUAGCAUGGAAUAAUAACAUAGGACUUUGGUUCUAUUUUGUUGGUUUCUAGAACUAAGGUAAUGAUUAAUAGGGAUAAUUGGGGGCAUUCGUAUUAACACGUCAGAGGUGAAAUUCUUGGAUUGUGUUACGACGAACUACUGCGAAAGCAUUUGCCAAGGAUGUUUUCAUUGA